GACGAACGCUGGCGGCGUGCUUAACACAUGCAAGUCGAACGGAAAGGCCUGCUUUCCCUUGUGGAUUGCGGGUACUCGAGUGGCGAACGGGUGAGUAACACGUGAGUGAUCUGCCCCCAACUCGGGUAUAAGCCUGGGAAACUGCGUCUAAUUCCCGAUAGGACUGCAGGGUGGUGCCUGUGGUGGAAAACGAUUUUGUAGUGGUUGGGGAUGAGCUCGCGGCCUAUCAGCUUGUUGGUGGGGUAAUGGCCUACCAAGGCGGCGACGGGUAGCCGGCCUGGGAGGGGGACCGGCCACAGUGCGCCUGAGAGACGGGGGAGACGCAGAGGGGAGGAAGCAGCGGGGAGUAGUGCCCGAUGGGCGGACGCCCGAGGGAGGAACGCCGCGUUCGGGAUGACGGCCUCCGGGGGGCAAAGCGGUUCCGCCUUGGAGGAAGGGGGGGUGACGGUAAUGGGUAAAGAAGCACCGGCUAACUACGUG
rnacentral:rRNA from 1 species